rnacentral:piRNA from 1 species
UAGGAACAGUUCUUCCACGGCCCUACUC